GUUGGUCUCAACAGGGAGAAAGUUUCUGUGAAGGAUCCUUUUGGGUAGUUGAGCAGUUUAAAAUGGGCAAUGGCUGGGUAGCACACAGGACUGGGGAUGGAUACACAGUAUCACUGGCUAGUGACUAUCACCUGGGGUUCUGAAUUCUACAUUUCAGCCCAGUAGGAAGUGUCACAGAAAGGAAAGACAUUCCUAAUGUUUAAGGGCCAUGAGUGAGAGCAUGAGAUAAUUACAGGAGAAAUAUGUGACUUUCUUCUCUUUUAGAAGAGCAUUAGUGUCAAUGUCUAAUGCACUGGGGUCCCAAGAGUAGUGUUGUAUUAACCAGGAUAUAGGGAAUGAAGACUAACUGUGCACCCCUGCAUGCUUUAUUGAAUUCUCUAGCAUCUUUUACAUGUAAGCAGAACAAAGAUUUCUCACAGCUUCUAAUUCUCAACAGCUUCCGUUUCUCAAGCAAUGGUGUAUCUGGGUUCAAGGUGACCCAAAACUCCUUGCAGACUGAGAAAUCUUUCAGUACUCCAAAUCUUUCAUGUGUUGCUUAGUUUAAUUAAAAACAAAGUGAGUUUCUCGUGAAAAAAAUAAUCACAAAGGCUACUUCCUCGGGCACGCAGCUAAUUGCAGAACACCAGGAUUCUCUGCUAAGACAGUAAGCUUUCUCUGUCUCCUAAUGUGUUGAAAUUCACAGACAUCCUUAAGUCACCUCACAGCUAGCAGGUAGAGAGCAGCCACCUCAUGUCGUUUCUCUACAUAUUAGGAGGACACCAAGAAGACAAAAUUUUCUUCUCUUUGGAUAUCUUUGGGUUUUGCAGAGACAGAUAGAAUUAGAGUCAGUCCAACUCUAACUAAACAUGGGGAUGGAAGAAAUUGCUGAGAAUUUAGCUGUAACCCAAAGUGUCAAACUGACUAAUGCAUGGCUGGGAUCUUCUCAAAAGUCUGUUUCUGAUCACUUCUUGUGACCUCCCUGAAAUCACCCUGGUACUAUCUUUGAUCUGUACCAUUGGAUGCAAGCUAAGACCCAUCCCUCCUCAGUCUAAUCUAUAGAUAUAUCUUGUAAGUGCUAUCAUAUAAAAUUAAGGAAGUAGCAGUAAUAGAAAAUGAGUAUUUUAUACAUGAAUUCAUACAUCUACUGAAAUAUUUUUAACUGAAGGAAUCAAUCCUGACCCUGAAAAGAAAUGUGUUGUAUCGGUCAUCAGUGUCCUUCACCUCUGUCAGGUUAAAACAUUCACAGCAUAAUUAUUACUAGGUCAGACUUAGCUCCAGAAGCAACUUGCUGUCAGUUUGCAAGGCCAGCAAUAUACAUUUACAGUUUUAUCUCAAGGAUAUAUGAACUCUUCAGCCUUGUGUCAUGACAUAGCUAGAAUGCCUCUGAAUCCUAUGUCUUUUCCACAAAAUGCCACAUUGUUGCACUAUAUUGAUGAUGUUAUGAUGAUUGGACUAAGUGAUUAGGAGGUACCAACCACUUUGAACUCACUAGUAAUACUCACGAACAGAAAAGAAUGGAAAAUAAAUCUAACCAAAGUUCAAGGGCCUUCUACCUAAGUGAAAUUCUGAGAAGUUCAGUGGUAUGGGGCACACAGACAUAUUCCUUCUAAGAUAGCAUUAAGUUAUUGUACCUGGCCUCUCCUACUACCAAGAAAGAAGCAUGUUUAAUGGACAUAUUUGGAUUCUGGAGAUAGCACAUAGGAAUGAGUAACAGGUGUUACUUAGGCCCAUUUACCAUGGGACUCAGAAAGAUUCUAACUUUGUAUUGCCUGGAACAGAAUAAGGCUCUUCAACAGGUCUAGGGUACUGUGUCUGGACCACCUUUGCACUUGGACCAUAUGAUCCAGCAGACCUGAUGGAACUUGGGGUGUCAGUGGCAGAUAGGGAAGCUGUCUGGAGCUUUUGGCGGAUACCUAUUUUUGAAUCACAGUACAGAGCUUUAGGCUUUCUGGAACAAGUAUGCACCAUUUAUAGUUUUUGGCCUACUAUUUGGUCCUAGUGGAAUCUAAGUGUUUGAUAAUGGGACACCAAAUUGUAAUACCACCUAAUCUCUUUACCCUUCACAAUUUACAUGUUUUCUCACUUACAAAGUUAUAAAGAAAGACAUGCACAGCAGCAAUCUAUUAUGAAAUGGACACGACAUAUAUGUGAUAAGUCCUGAGCAGGUUCUGAAGGCACAAGCAAGUUACAUGAAGAAGUUUGCCCAAAUGCCUAUGGUUUCUAUUCCCAUUACAAAACUGUCUGUGGCCUACUAUGUAUCCUCAAGGGAUUUCCCAAUAGAAGGUUGUCUAAGAAAGAGAAGAUUAGGACCCAGUUUCUUAAUGAUUCUGUACAUUACUGAGUCACCACCCAAAAGAGAACAACUCCUUUCUGGGACAACCUUGAAAGACCCUUACCAAGGGAAAUAUUCACAGUACAGAACUUCGGGGAGUACACAUACUCAUACAUUUUGUUUGGAAGAAAAAAAUGGUGAGAUGUGUGAUUAUUGACUGAUACAUGGGCUAUGGCCAAUGCAUUGCUGAAUGGUCAGGGAUUGUAAAGAGCAUGAUUGGACAAUUGGUGAGAAAGACUUCUGGGGAAAAUAUGUGAAUAGAUCUCUGCAUGUGGACAGAGGAUGUGAAGAUACUUGCGUCCUAUUUAAAUGCUCAUCAAAACAUGUCUUCAGCUAAUGAAAAAUUCAAUAAUCAUUUAGAUAGGAUUACCAGUUCUGUGGAAAGUGACUUUUCUUCUUCAGCCAUUCCUGUUAUUGCCCAAUGGGUCUACGAACUAAAUGGCCAUUGUGGCAGAGAUGGGAGUUAUGCAUGAGCACAACAAUAUGGACUUCCUCUCACCAAGGCCCACCUGGAUAUAGCUGCUGCUGAGUGCCAGAUCUGCCAACAUCAGAAACCAACACUUAGUCCUAGGUUUGGCACUAGUCUCUGGGGUUACCAGCCAAUUACCUGCUGGCAGGGUGACUACAUUGGACCACUUCCUCCAUGGAAAGGAUAAUGCUUUGUCUUACUGGAGUAGAUACUUAUUGUCAUUAUGAAUUUGAAUUUCCUGUCCAUAAUUCUUCUGCCCAAACCACCAUUCAUGGAUUUACAGAAUGCCUUAUCCAAUACUCAUGAUAUUCCACACAGUAUUGCUUCUGACCAAUGUCGGUGCCUGCACUGACACGGUACCGAGAAUCCGGCGAAAGCCUGUGGGAUGAGGGAAACUUUCCUCGGUAUGGAUCCUUGUGCACCUCUUAGAGAAGAACGAAACACCAGAUACUUUUGAGCCUUUUAACAACACUGCAGCAGACUUGAGGACUUUUCUCUCACCAGCCACAGAGGCACAGAGCCACUUGCAGGGUCUGAGUUUUACUGGCCGCAGCACAAGCUGCCCUAAGACACCUGCGUGUACUGGGGCCGUUUGUACCAUUAGCCUGUCUGCUCUGUCUGAGAGUCUUCAUGCAGGCGUAAUUCAGCCAUCAAGUCCUCUUACCAGAAAAAACCUUCUGGAGGCACCACCCCUUGGAGCAAAAGGGACCCGCUUCCAGAGAAAGUGCCUGGACCUCACUGGUGUCAGUUCAGAGACCGCACUUUAAGGACUGACCAGAAGGAAGCUCAGGCUCUGGCCUGUCCCUUCCUCUAUUUGGUACUUGUCAUCCUAGGUCCUUUCUUUUUAUUUUGAGACAAGAUCUUAUUCUGUGGCUUAGGCUGGCCUGCAAACUCCCAUCUCGGCCUCCCAAGUGCUGGCCCUUAUUUUAAAGUGAACUUAAAGAAAUGGGGGAAAAUGAAAGACCCACCCCAUGAGUCUUAACUCAGAGUUGCAACAGGCUUGAACGAGCCCAGGCACGCCCAGAUACCUAGGGCCGAGUCACCGUGAAAACUAACAGACCAUAAAAGGAAAGGAAUGCAGAACAGACCAGGAGUACCACUCACAGGCCACCUGGCAGGAAGAGAUAAGCCCCCAGCCCCCGACAUCCAGGACGCCCCAAACCUGCCAAUGUGUGUAGCUAUACCUUAUUACCUCAUCAUGUGAAAUAGCCAAUCAUAUGUGAACAUGUCUAUGUGCCUCGUUUGAAUCCACCAAUCCCCGUAACUAUGCAUCUGCUUCUGUACGCCCGCUUCUGCUUCCCCAAUCCCUAUAAAAGCCCCAUGCUGGAGCUGCUGGGCGCGCAAGUCCUCCGAAGAGACUGUGUGCCCGCAGGUACCUGUGUUUUCCAAUAAACCCUCUUGCUGAUUGCAUCCGAGUGGACUCGGCUCGGUCAUUGGGCGCUUGGGACUCCUCCUGAGGGAAAGGUCCUCUCUGGGGGUCUUUCAUUAUGGGGGCUCGCCCGGGGUUUGGAGACCCUCUGCCCAGAGACCACCGACCACCCACCGGGAGGCUAAAAGACCUACAGGUGAUACAGAAAGAAAUCUGCUCAGAGCUGGCAGCAGCCUAUGCCCUGGGGACCCCUGAGACAUCUCACCAGUUCCAGGUCGGAGACUCGGCUACAUACGAUGGCACCGAACCCAGAUACUCACUGGAAAGGACCGUACCUGGUGCUGCUGACCACCCUGACAGCCAUCAACUCUCAGCCCUCACCAGCCGUGUACUAGCUGUUGGGGCUGAGAGCUGGGACCUAGAGGGAAAAUCAGAUCUUCAAAAAGCUCCCUAGACUUAAUUUCAUGUUUGCCCCGGGUUUUAUCAAGAUAGGUGUGGGGAUAGGCUUGAUUUCUAUUACAAAUGAUGUAACAUUGCAUAUGUUAGUACUCCUAACACUUCUUGGGACUGUGCCUCAGGGAUCACAAUCUGUACAAGUUUAGAAGUUCUAAAAGCUAGUCAUGACCUUGGUGUGCAGGUUUAGAUAGUGUCCAGAUUGGAAUCCUGAUGCUAGAGACUUAGUAAGAAAAAAAAAAAAAAAAGAGUUGAGAAUUACUUAAGGCUAUCUAGGUGCUGCAAGGGCAGCACAAGGACAUCUGCCAUUGCCCUGCAAUGCAAGGUUUAUAGAGAAUUCAGAACUGCCAUUGACUCAGAUAUAAAAAGAGUGAAAGACUUUUUAGCUGACCUCCAAGAAUACCUAACCUCCCUCUCAGAGGUAGUCCUUCAGAAUAGGAGAAGAUUAGACCUGAUAUUCCUUAAAGAAGGAACCUGUGUGCUACACUGAAAGAAUGUUGUUUCUAUGCAGACCAUACAGGAUUAGUGAGAGAUAACAUGGCUAAGCUCCGAGAACGCUUGGCCCAGAGACAGAAGCUGUUUGAUUCCCAACAAGGCUGGUUCGAGGGGUGGUUUAACCGAUCCCCUUGGUUUGCUACCCUGGUGUCCACCUUGAUGGGACCCUUAAUCAUCCUCCUCCUAAUCUUCCUCUUUGGCCCCUGCAUUCUAAACAGAUUGAUGCAGUUCAUAAAGAACAGACUCUCAGUCAUUCAGACGCUUGUUCUCACCCAACAAUACCAGAGGGUAAGACAACAGGAAGAGAUUCCUUAGAAUUCGAUUUGAGUAAAGGAUUUUACUCAAGUCUAAAAGAAAAUGGGGGAAAAUGAAAGACCCACCCCAUGAGUCUUAACUCAGAGUUGCAACAGGCUUGAACGAGCCCAGGCACGCCCAGAUACCUAGGGCCGAGUCACCGUGAAAACUAACAGACCAUAAAAGGAAAGGAAUGAAGAACAGACCAGGAGUACCACUCACAGGCCACCUGGCAGGAAGAGAUAAGCCCCCAGCCCCCGACAUCCAGGAUGCCCCAAACCUGCCAAUGUGUGUAGCUAUACCUUAUUACCUCAUCAUGUGAAAUAGCCAAUCAUAUGUGAACAUGUCUAUGUGCCUCGUUUGAAUCCACCAAUCCCCGUAACUAUGCAUCUGCUUCUGUACGCCCGCUUCUGCUUCCCCAAUCCCUAUAAAAGCCCCAUGCUGGAGCUGCUGGGCGCGCAAGUCCUCCGAAGAGACUGUGUGCCCGCAGGUACCUGUGUUUUCCAAUAAACCCUCUUGCUGAUUGCA